ensembl:miRNA
UAGGCAGAGAUGACAGUCAUACUGUUGAAUUGCCAGUAUGGCAGUGUCACUGACCAACA